rnacentral:rRNA from 1 species
GGAUCAACAUGUCGGUCGUGCCUCCGGUACGUACUGGUAUCGUUGAUUUCUACCUUCUGACGAACCAUGAUGUCAUUAAUUUGGUGUCAUGGGGAAUCAGGACUGUUACUUUGAAAAAAUUAGAGUGUUUAAAGCAGGCACACGCUUGAAUACAUUAGCAUGGAAUAAUGAAAUAGGACGAUGGUUCUAUUUUGUUGGUUUCCGGGACCGUCGUA